UUUUUUCAAUUGAACCGAAGAGCAAUUUUAGCAAAAAGCCAACUGUAAUGUUGCAGAUAUCAGAAAAACUUUUAAAGUAGAAAAUUUUAUCUUGAAAUGUUAAGCUCUGGGUCCUUAGAAGUACAGGGUUUAAUUACAUACGGCUAGUAAAAUAUCGGAGGAUUUUGAAGUAGCUGUUAAUUUAUAGCAGAAACGUCAGCAAUUGUCAAUUGAUUCGAGAAACAAGGUGUUAAAAUAAUUAAAUAACCCUUGGAUUUAGUUACUAACUGUUUUUAACAAAAAUUGUUUGAAAUUUUUGCUGGCAAAGCAUUCUGUCAAAAAAAAUGGAUAAAUCUGAGUAUUGAAGAAGUGAUAAAUGGAAUUAAAAGGAAUUUUUUUCCCUUCACGUAUGAGCCAAAAAGUACUCAUCGAUAUAGAAACCGUGGUCGAUUUAUCGUACCAAGAAAAGAGCAUUAAUCAAUCAACGACUUGGUUUUAUUUAAGCACCAUGAUGAAAACAUGCGUUUUUUUUUAAGAUUGGUAGAAACUGCAUUAAUCCAACCAUGAAUAGUUAAAAUUUCAUUCUAAAAUUUGUAAGA